UUAAGGCAUUGACCACAGGAUGCAUCAUUGUUCCAACUUGAAAAACAAGGCAAAGGAGGGAGGAAGGUCACUACUCAUCCCUUUGUUACUGAGCUUUGCAUACUGAAACAGCUUUUACAGAUGAAGACUCUAAAGAAGCUCUGGCUAAACCAGAAAACCAGCUACAAGAGAUCUUGAAGGGACCUAUAUGAUCCAGUGACUCUAAAAUUUAGAUGUACAAAGAACUUGAAUGCCUAGCUCUUUGUGGCUGUUUGGAAAAUUCAAGGAAAAGGUGCAGUGUCCAUUUCUUGGUGUUUCUGUGAAUUGCACAUGCAUGGUUCCUUACCUGAUUGGAUGAUCUGGGAAAUGCGGACAUACACACACAGCACAGUGGAAUGUUCAUCAAUAAAACAGCCUUAAAAGCUGAGCAUGGAAGUGGUCCCUUGUCCUCAGCUAACAUCUUAAUGCUAUUGACCAUUCAUGCAAGUCUUCCAGUGAAAACACCCUGUUUCUUGAAGGGAAAAUGAAUAUGAAAAAGAUUGCUGGCCUUACAUGAACAGCUACUCUCCAUCGUGCUCCAACUGAAUUAAAACCACCAAUUACACCUCUAGUUGUGUGGCAACACCUACACUGUGUUUCCAAUUAACUUUGUAAGUUUUUAAUCAGUGACAAAUGCAUUUUUGUAAAUUCAAUUUGCCUUUUAUUGCAGCACCUAUAAAAUGUCUUGCAGCAUUCCGGAACUUUGUGAAGGUUUUACUUGCUACUGACAUAACGCAGCUGUCGGACCUACAACAAAGGCUGAGGUUUAUGGGCAACUUGAAUUAGGAUGUAGGUUAAGCAAUUAAAGUUCAAGGAGGGGGAGGGGGAAAUGGUUUCCCAAAAUUUGCACUUGCCAAUUUAGAAAAACACACCAAAAACUUGCUGUACACAAGGAUGGGAGAAGCCAAAGCAGCUAAGGAGACCAUACUCAGCUUUAGAAUUGCUAUUUUGAGAGUAUUCCAUAUGUGAAAAGGUCACCCAGAUUUCAUUAAUAAAUCCGCUCUGCUGUUUGUUUUCUUUUUUAAUC